rnacentral:lncRNA from 1 species
GGAUUAGUGCGUUCUGCGCCGCUCGGCGGCCACAUAGAAUUGAGAAAAGCCUAUGGUUGAGGCAGCAUUAAUUUAUGAAACUUUACACGUGGGAAGGGAUGACUCUUUCUAUUCAAACCUGUAAACAUAGAAGACCGCCUCAAUGAACAAGGGAUCAUUCACAUAGAAUAGUUAUGAACAACGAGAAAGGGAAUAUAAGGUUUGAAUUCAGAGGAAAGCCUAGCCUGAAUGAACAAGGUGAAAAGAAUAUUGACAGCUGCACUUAUGAGUCUUUCAGUUACCUUUCUGCCUCUUUAAAGAGAGUUCAAGGUUUUUUAUUAUUGGAAGAAUCAGAAUAAGAAGAAAAUAGAGGAAGACAGAGAGAAGAGAGCUCAAGAGGCGCAACGAAAUAUGCGUGAGAAGCGCAUUUCCUUAGUGGAAUACUUUGAGUAGUGGAAUACUUUGAUAGCGGAAUAAGAAGCUGAAGGCUGGGUCAAGACGAUCUUUUGAUCUAUUCUAAUGGUUCUAAUGGACAGUCCUUCGUUUUAGAGUCCUACGGAUAAAUCCUCCGGACUGGUCCGAAGGCUAGGUUCAUACGAAUAGUCCGGAGGACGGUUAGUUGGAGCCUUGUUUUUCGAAAUCUUCUUUGAGCCUCAGUCGUCUCAUUGAUAAGGACAUCUUUGCAAAUGAAGAGCGGGAGGUGCAAAGUGCGACUAUUACUUUGAAAAGAAUAGGAGCUCCGCGGUUUGAAUUGAAUAAAAAGGAUAGGCUGAAAUUCAAAGUGAAUAAGAGGAUAUUUUCAGACAUAAUAUCUAAAGUCAAUGACCAGGGGCUCCUAACCUCUGAUUUAUGGGGAGCCUACUACGUCCAUUAGUUCCGAACUUGGCUCUGCUCCUUCGCUUUUUCUCUUAUUGAUCUCUCUUGUAAUGCUUUCUACUAAGAAUCAAAAAAGCGCAACUUCUAUUUUGUGCGAACGACCUUGAUUAAAAAACGAUGCUUCCUUGGUCGUGUAGAUCAUGGAUUAGCAUUAUCUCAUUCCUACAAGCAAUCCCCCAUCCAGGAUUGGAAGAAGUGCUAUAUGAGGACUUCGAGAUCAAAUAGAAUAUAUUUCUUUCGAGACCUCGUGAGCCACUUAUUUCUCCGAAACAAGAGAGAAAAGUGAUUUUCCUCCUUUUUCUCAAUAAGUCGACGACCUUACACCAUUGGGAUACUUCUUUGAAACUAGAGUACAUAUAGGAUACAUCGGUGCUAAAACCUUUUCUCAAAAGAUAUUUCAAACUGUUGGGGUCCUUGCUCCGUAUGUUUUUUUCUCGAUGUGAAAGCAGUUGGUUCCGUAGUUCGAGAAUUCUACUGAUCCCAAGUACUCCAUCUCCAUCAUUGCAUAUGGGAAUAUAGAAAGUCAAGAAGAAAAGGCAUGAGCAGAAGAAUUGUGUGAAAUCAGUCAAUUUAUCCAAUUGAGGCAUUCUUUCUUUUUCUCAAGAAAAUUCCCUCUAGACAGAAAUCCUUCCUGUACGAGUAGUGAAGAACUAUAGAGAGCAGUGGUUGGUUGUUGACCAAUGGAAAGCAUGGGAGAAAGAAAGAUGCUGGCAAGGAAGCAUCAAAAUAGAUCAAUGAAAGAGGCUCAAAGAAUGAUCGAGGACCAUUUUAGUCCGACUAGAAACUAGGGAAACUAAAGACUAACGAAAUCUAGAUGAGAAUCCGUACAAUUAGUCUCGAGAAAAAGAAGAAAGCAAUAAAAAAAGUGAAGACAGAAAAUGAACCGAAAAUCUUCUUCUCUCAUAUUGAAUUCAUCCUUCUACGCAUCUCCAUGGGCUCGAUUGAGAGUGGAGGAGAGGACGGGAAGAAUGAGAAAAAUAGCAAGGCGAGAAGACAGGUCCGAAGGACUAUCCAUCAGGGAGUCUGGACCCCGUAGUUAAGAGCAAAGAAUAUUGUGAAAGAGUCAUGAUAGGUGCAAAUCUUCUUAUAGAUUAUGCUGAAGGAGGAGGCGCAAUUCAAUAUGCGAAAGUCAUGGUCCCUUUAAAGCAGACGUUAGGCGCAAAGAAAGAAGCUCAUUAACGAGAAUGAAAGAAUAAUUCACUCAUUAUAAAGUAGCAAGAAAUCAUGAAAAAUCAGUCAAAAUUAGACAAUUAUCGUAGAAUAUCAAUAUGAAAAAAAGUAUGAAAAAGAAGCAAAAAAGCCGGGAAAUAGCAAUUCAAGAAGAAAGCCUAGGACAGGGAAAAGAAAUGAACACUUUGAGUUUAUGGUCCGGAUACUGACAGGUCUAUUCUUUAUUCCGCUCCUAAAUAUGGAUAACCCUACUUCGGUUAAUUACGGAUGGUCCUACUUCCAUAUGGAUAGUCCUAUGGAUAAGAAUCCUGUGGACUCCGGACUACUUCGGUUAAUUACGGAUGGUCCUACAGAUAAAUCCUGCGGACUCCAGACGUAGGACGUAGGAUAAAUCACCUGGACCUUUCUUUGGCAAUGCAGACUACUUCGAUUAAUUAUGGAUGGUCCUACGGAUAAAUCCUAUGGACUGCGGACGUAGGACGUAGGAUAAAUCCUGCGGACUCCUUCCUUCCAUAUGGAUGGUCCUACGGAUAAAUCCUCCGGACUACUUCGGUUAAUUACGGAUGGUCCUACUUCCAUAUGGAUAGUCCUACUUCUAAUGGAUAGUCCUUCGGAUAAAUCCUGCACACGUAGGACCCUGGACCUUUCUUUCUUUCAUGGAUAGUCCUCCGGACAAAUCCUGCAGACUGCGGACGUAGGACCAUGGACCUUUCUUUGGCACUUCGGACGGAUAAAGAAAGGAUAAAUAAAGGCACAAAGAAUAUAUCGAAGCGAAGCGCAUUUAUCUAAGAAAAGAAGAAAGGAUAAAUAAAGGCGCAAAGAAUAUUGCGAGAGCGGGAAUUACCUUUUCUCUUCAGGUUAUCUAAGAGUUGCCGGAGGCUUGAAGUCGGAUAAUUACUUUUACUUAAAGGUUUCACAAACCUGCAAAAUCUUCUCCAAAUUAGCGUUAGCGUUCUGAGCUAGCCAAGCAGUAUAUCUAAAAUAUAGAAAGAAGAAAAAUUCAUGCAACCUAAGUACACUAAGAACCUACAGCAUCGUCACCGCUGCGUGGGAAGGUUAAUUCUUCUAACUCUGGUAUUAUCGUUGAACAAGCAGUUCACAUCCAACUGCCCGCAUAAUGGGGGAAGCUCGCUCGCUAACUUUGCUUUUCGGCCAAAAUGCCGAAAAAAGGCUAAGGCCGAAGGAGGUCUACUCCUUCGCUUAAGGAAAAAUUGCCCGAUUGGAUAUAUAUCUUGGUGCAGAGAGAGGAAAGGAUCACGGAAGCCUCAGUCUCAGUACGAAAGGGGCAAAAAGCUGGAAAAAGCAUACUGGCUUCACCUUGCCCUAGGAUGGGGUCCGCCCGAUCUUUUAAGGCAUAGGCUUAAUACUGAGACGCACGGGAAUAUCCGGUCCAGGAUGGAUAUUCAAGACAAGGAUGAAGGCUCUCCGUCACGCAAGAUGAUUACAAGUCUUAGGAGUGAACUUCCGCUUUACCCCUUCCGGUAUCAGGAAGCGAAGGGCAGAGAAAGCGAGCUAGAAAACAUAAAUCAAGGCGGUCGAUGACUUAAAAUAGGCAAAAAGAAAAGACAGAAAGCCUAUGGGUUUCUCGGUUUACCCUUCAAUUAGGAUAGAAAAAGGCACUGCCUAUGUGACCACUAAAAGCGGAUGUGACGAGCGACGCAGGGCCACCCACGAUCGCUAGCAAUAUGAGGUAAAGCGACCAGAAAGCAUACCAUAGGAUGCGUGCUGAGGGCAUUCACAUAAACAUUUUUCAAAUUGUUCACAUUCGGUGGGAUGUUCUUAGCCUUGUCUCCAGGUGAAUAAUUGAAUCGGCACCGACGCGAUCGGACCUAUUGCAGUCUUCGGUUGACUGGUGGCAUUCAAUGGUAUGCUUGAGGCCUUUCCAACCCGCUCCGUGUAAAAGAGGUAGAAGGAGGCUCAAAGAAUUAUCGAAGAGCGAGACGAAAGAAAAUAGCGACUUGCAGUCUGUGAUGGGAUAUCUCAAUGUUAUCGCAGAUUCAAAGGCGCAAAGAAUAUUGCAUUGAGGCUCGACUGAAAGGAGAGGCGAAUUUGAGAAGAAAUAACUAUAUCGGAUAAAUACUCAACUGCCUCAAACGUCACUUGGACAAGAGCUGGAGAUUCCGAAACCUCUCGCAGCUUCUUUGCUUCCUCUGGUCUCGAUAUUUGAACCGCCUCAAUAAACAAUAAAUAAGGGUCCAAAAAAUCAAGGUCAUCUGAAACCCUUUUUUUGAUGUGCCUCAGUCCUAUCCAUUAGAACAUCGGCCCUCACCCUUUUUCUUCUUAGUGCGCGCUUGAGCUUUAGUCUUCCGAGUUCUCAAAUUCUUUGACCCUCUGUCUCAGUAUUCGGCAGAGAUGCUGAUGUUAACAAGAAAUGCAGGCUGAAUGCUGUCUAAUGCUUGGAGAGACAUUGUUAGUAAUGUGACUUUGGACAAGGUUACUGAAGAUAGAACUAUCUGGCCUCAGGUCAGUUUUCAUUUGCUAAGACAGUGAAACUCUUUCAUCUUCCUGGUAAUACUGUCCCUUGGUUCAAGCUUCUUUGGGGUAAGAAGCACAUCCCUAGUCAUGCUUUUCUUUCCUGGAUGGCUAUGAAUAAGAGUCUGAGAGUCAAAGCUAAACUGUACAAUCUUUAAGUGCUUUCGUCUGAUUUUGAGGUUUGGAAGCAAAGAAGCAUAUAGCGGAGUUUGGUUCCUUAUAUUAGAAAAAGAUAUAGGAAGACUCCCAAAAAGAAGAAAGCCUAGGAAAGCCUAGGAGAAAGCAAAGAAAGAGUAAGGAUGAGAAAGCUCCUAACCCCUAUUUAUUUAUGGAUGUGAAUUGAGCGAAGGCGCAAAGAAUAUUGCGAAGGUUCAAAGAAUAUUGACUUGAUAAACCUCUAUUUAGCUUCUUAUAUCUGAAGACGAUAAAGUCAGAUAAUCAGCCUCCGGCUGGGUCGGAUCGUCCAUACCUAGUUGAGUAUCUUUGUCCGUCAUAAUGAAGUCACUCUUUGAAAAAGGGUCGGGCUUUGUUGGAGUUGACUCGGUGAGUACACUUUCAUCUUUACGAGAAGAAGCGCGAAC